rnacentral:rRNA from 1 species
AUUGAACGCUGGCGGCAGGCCUAACACAUGCAAGUCGAACGGUAACAGGAAGAAGCUUGCUUCUUUGCUGACGAGUGGCGGACGGGUGAGUAAUGUCUGGGAAACUGCCUGAUGGAGGGGGAUAACUACUGGAAACGGUAGCUAAUACCGCAUAACGUCGCAAGACCAAAGAGGGGGACCUUCGGGCCUCUUGCCAUCGGAUGUGCCCAGAUGGGAUUAGCUAGUAGGUGGGGUAACGGCUCACCUAGGCGACGAUCCCUAGCUGGUCUGAGAGGAUGACCAGCCACACUGGAACUGAGACACGGUCCAGACUCCUACGGGAGGCAGCAGUGGGGAAUAUUGCACAAUGGGCGCAACCUGAUGCAGCCAUGCCGCGUGUAUGAAGAAGGCCUUCGGGUUGUAAAGUACUUUCAGCGGGGAGGAAGGGAGUAAAGUUAAUACCUUUGCUCAUUGACGUUACCCGCAGAAGAAGCACCGGCUAACUCCGUG